UACGUAGGGGCUAGCGUUGUCCGGAAUCAUUGGGCGUAAAGCGCGCGUAGGCGGCCCGGUAAGUCCGCUGUAAAAGUCAAAGGCUCAACCUUUGAAUGUCAGUGGAUACUGCCGGGCUAGAGUCCGGAAGAGGAGAGUGGAAUUCCGUGGUGAUGAGCGGUGAAAUGCGCAGAUAUCAGGAAGAACACCAAUGGCGAAAGCAGCUCUCUGGGACGGUACUGACGCUGAGACGCGAAAGCGUGGGGGAGCGAACAGG
rnacentral:rRNA from 1 species